CGGGGUGUAGCGCAGCUUGGUAGCGCAUCUGAUUUGGGAUCAGAGGGUCGCGGGUUCAAAUCCUGCCGCCCCGACCA
rnacentral:tRNA from 2 species